rnacentral:rRNA from 1 species
AUGGAUGCUAUAGCCUUAGUGCAGAAGUAUGGCAAGCCGGAUGUCUUCCUCACAAUGACAUGUAACCCAAACUGGGACGAGAUUAAGCAACAACUCUAUCCUGGUCAGACACCUCAGGAUCGUCCAGAUCUCGUUGUUCAUGUUUUCAGGGCAAAGUUGGAGGAACUCAAGAAUAAGUUGCUUCAAAAGGGCAUCUUGGGCAAGGUGAGGGCUUAUGUGCAUGUGGUGGAGUUCCAGAAGAGGGGUCUGCCCGAUGCCCACUUGCUUCUCAUCAUGGAGGGGCGGUACAAGCUCACAUGCUCCGAGCAGUAUGACCGUCUUAUCUCAGCCGAACUCCCAAACAAGAAGUACCCAGAACUAUACAAAAUGGUCGUGAAGCAUAUGAUGCAUGGACCAUGUGGUGCUUUGAAUCGUGAAUGCCCAUGCACAAAGGGUCGUCCUAUUUGCAAGAAUCACUAUGCUUGGCCUUUCAGCGCAGCUACCUUGCAAGGCAAGGACUCCUACCCUCUAUACAAACGACGUGAAGACGGUCGCAAAGCAAUGGUCCGAAAGGAAUGA